rnacentral:rRNA from 1 species
AACGGAGCGUCAGANAGGGUGAGAACCCCGUCUAGCCAGGACCCCGCCGCUCCACGAGCUGCUGUCGACGAGUCGAGCUGUUUGGGAAUGCAGCUCUAAGUGGGUGGUAAAUUCCAUCCAAGGCUAAAUAUUGGCAAGAGACCGAUAGCGAACAAGUACCGCGAGGGAAAGAUGAAAAGGACUUUGAAAAGAGAGUUAAAAAGUGCUUGAAAUUGCUGGGAGGGAAGCGAAUGGAAGCUGCGGGUGUGCCCCGGUUGGAUGUGGAACGUCCCUUAAACAAGGAUGGUCCGCCGCUCAACGCGGGGCGCUGGUCAGCGUGGGCCACCGCGCCGGGACAACAGCAAGGAUGUAGUUUCCUGCCUAUGCCGUUGCGGUGGCCGAGGGACGAAGCACGCGGCACCUCGUGUGCCGUGGGACUAACCUCCCAACUGCGUGCUCGGGACGCUGGCGUAUUGAGCUCUCCAUCCGACCCGUCUUGAAACACGGACCAAGGAGUCUAACAUGUAUGCGAGCCGGUGGGCGGCAAACCCAUUGAGGCGCAAGGAAACUGACAGGUGGGAUCCCCCUUCGACAAGGGGAGCACCAUCGACCGACCGUGAUCUUCUGUGAAAGGUUUGAGUGUGAGCAUACCUGUUGGGACCCGAAAGAUGGUGAACUAUGCCUGAGCAGGGCGAAGCCAGAGGAAACUCUGGUGGAGGCUCGUAGCGAUACUGACGUGCAAAUCGUUCGUCAGACUUGGGUAUAGGGGCGAAAGACUAAUCGAACCAUCUAGUAGCUGGUUCCCUCCGAAGUUUCCCUCAGGAUAGCUGGAGCUCGUGUGACAGUUUUAUCAGGUAAAGCGAAUGAUUA